GACGAACGCUGGCGGCGUGCUUAACACAUGCAAGUCGAACGGUAAGGCCCUUCGGGGUACACGAGUGGCGAACGGGUGAGUAACACGUGGGUGAUCUGCCCUGCACUUCGGGAUAAGCCUGGGAAACUGGGUCUAAUACCGGAUAGGACUCCGGACUGCAUGGUCUGGGGUGGAAAGCUUUUGCGGUGUGGGAUGGGCCCGCGGCCUAUCAGCUUGUGGGUGGGGUGAUGGCCUACCAAGGCGACGACGGGUAGCCGGCCUGAGAGGGUGACCGGCCACACUGGGACUGAGAUACGGCCCAGACUCCUACGGGGGGCAGCAGUGGGGAAUAUUGCACAAUGGGCGCAAGCCUGACGCAGCGACGCCGCGUGAGGGAUGACGGCCUUCGGGUUGUAAACCUCUUUCAGCAUCGACGAAGCGAAAGUGACGGUAGGUGCAGAAGAAGGACCGGCCAACUACGUGCCAGCCGCCGCCGUAA
rnacentral:rRNA from 1 species